rnacentral:rRNA from 1 species
AUGAGAGUUUGAUCCUGGCUCAGGACGAACGCUGGCGGCGUGCCUAAUACAUGCAAGUCGAACGCUUCUUUCCUCCCGAGUGCUUGCACUCAAUUGGAAAGAGGAGUGGCGGACGGGUGAGUAACACGUGGGUAACCUACCCAUCAGAGGGGGAUAACACUUGGAAACAGGUGCUAAUACCGCAUAACAGUUUAUGCCGCAUGGCAUAAGAGUGAAAGGCGCUUUCGGGUGUCGCUGAUGGAUGGACCCGCGGUGCAUUAGCUAGUUGGUGAGGUAACGGCUCACCAAGGCCACGAUGCAUAGCCGACCUGAGAGGGUGAUCGGCCACACUGGGACUGAGACACGGCCCAGACUCCUACGGGAGGCAGCAGUAGGGAAUCUUCGGCAAUGGACGAAAGUCUGACCGAGCAACGCCGCGUGAGUGAAGAAGGUUUUCGGAUCGUAAAACUCUGUUGUUAGAGAAGAACAAGGACGUUAGUAAC